rnacentral:rRNA from 1 species
GUAGGUGGGCAAGCGUUGUCCGGAAUUAUUGGGGCGUAAAGCGCGCGCAGGGCGGUCCUUUAAGUCUGAUGUGAAAGCCCACGGCUCAACCGUGGAGGGUCAUUGGAAACUGGGGGACUUGAGUACAGAAGAGGAAGGCGGAAUUCCAAGUGUAGCGGUGAAAUGCGUAGAGAUUUGGAGGAACACCAGUGGCGAAGGCGGCUUUCUGGUCUGUAACUGACGCUGAGGCGCGAAAGCGUGGGGAGCAAACAGGAUUAGAUACCCUGGUAGUCCACGCCGUAAACGAUGAGUGCUAAGUGUUAGGGGGUUUCCGCCCCUUAGUGCUGCAGCUAACGCAUUAAGCACUCCGCCUGGGGAGUACGGCCGCAAGGCUG